AUACAGAGGGUGCAAGCGUUAAUCGGAUUUACUGGGCGUAAAGCGCGCGUAGGUGGCUAAUUAAGUCAAAUGUGAAAUCCCCGAGCUUAACUUGGGAAUUGCAUUCGAUACUGGUUAGCUAGAGUAUGGGAGAGGAUGGUAGAAUUCCAGGUGUAGCGGUGAAAUGCGUAGAGAUCUGGAGGAAUACCGAUGGCGAAGGCAGCCAUCUGGCCUAAUACUGACACUGAGGUGCGAAAGCAUGGGGAGCAAACAGGAUUAGAUACCCUGGUAGUCCAUGCCGUAAACGAUGUCUACUAGCCGUUGGGGCCCUUGAGGCUUUAGUGGCGCAGCUAACGCGAUAAGUAGACCGCCUGGGGAGUACGGUCGCAAGACUGAAACUCAAAUGAAUUGACGGGG
rnacentral:rRNA from 1 species